GCUUGUCUCAAAGAUUAAGCCAUGCAAGUACAAGUUCAGCUUUAAAAAGUGAAACCGCGAAUGGCUCAUUAAAUCAGUUUUGGUUCAUUUGUAUUUUCCAUUUAUAUGAAUAACUGCGGUAACCCUGCAGCUAAUGCAUGCUAUUGCUCCUCCUUGUUGUGGAGAACUUUUACUAGCAUAACUGGACCCAUCGGCACGGCAUCGAUGGUAAAUGAUGAAUACUGAGUAACUGAAUGACCUUUAUACGCUAUAUACAGCGAAAGGCGAUGCAUUCGAAUAUCUGCCCUAUCAACUUCUGAUGGUAGUGUAACGGACUACCAUGGUUGUGACGGGUGACGGGGAAUCAGGGUUCGAUUCCGGAGAGGGAGCCUGAGAAACGGCUACCACUUUCAAGAAAGGCAGCAGGCACGCAAAUUACCCAAUGUCGGGACGACGAGGUAGUGACGAAAAAUAACGAUAUGAGCCCAUUGGGUUUGUAAUCGGAAUGGAAGAGAUUUAACAAAUCUCUUGAGGAUCUAGUAGAGGGCAAGUCUGGUGCCAGCAGCCGCGGUAAUACCAGCCUCUACAAGCAUAUGCAAAUGUUGCUGCGUUUGAAAAGCUCAUAGUUGGAUCCGUAGUCUGUUCAAGUUCUUUCACGUUCAGCUCAGAAGAAGCCUGUCUGUGGACCUAGAUCAGGACUGUCCCUUCGUUAAGGGUGUUUGCACUUCAUUGUGUCGAAUACUCGGAACGGAGUAUUUACCUUGAGUAAAUUAGAGUGCUCAAAGCAAGCAUAUGAUUGAAUAAUAAAGCAUGGAAUAAUGGAGGAGGCCUGCUCUCUUUAUAGCACCGGUUGCUGGAGUAGCAGUAAUGGUUAAAAGGAACAGUCGGGGGUAUUUGUAUUGCUACGUUAGAGGUGAAAUUCUUGGAUCGUGGCAAGACAAACUAAAGCGAAGGCAUUUACCAAGAAUGUUUUCAUUAAUCAAGAACGAAAGUCAGAGCAUUGAAGAGGAUUAGAUACCCUCGUAAUUCUGACCAUAAACGAUACCAACUUACGAUUUGUCAAAGUCCCAUCCUGACUUGGCAAGGAGUUAACCGGGAAACCAAAGUUUUUUGGCUCCGGGGGAAGUAUGGUUGCAAAAUCGAAACUUAAAGGAAUUGACGGAAGGGCACCACCAGGAGUGGAGCCUGCGGCUUAAUUUGACUCAACACGGGAAAACUCACCAGGUCCAGACAUCGAAAGGAUUGACAGAUUGAAUAUCUUUCAUGAUUCAAUGGGUGGUGGUGCAUGGCCGUUCUUAGUUAGUGGAGUGAUCUGUCUGGUUAAUUCCGAUAACGAACGAGAUCCUAGCCAUUUAAAUAGAAGUAGUAACUUCGGUUGCUAUACACUUCUUAGAGGAACUAUGCGGAAUAUAAUACCGCAAGGAAGUGGGGCUAUAACAGGUCUGUGAUGCCCUUAGAUGUCCUGGGCUGCACGCGCGCUACACUGAGUACAGAAGUGUGAUUGUGGAAACCUAGUCCGAAAUGGUCCGGGUAACCACCAAAAUGUACUUAUUAUGAUGGGGAUAGACUCUUGUAACUAGUAGUCUUGAACGAGGAAUUCCUAGUAAUAUCAAGUCAACAACUUGAUGUGAUUACGUCCCUGCCCUUUGUACACACCGCCCGUCGCUACUACUGAUUGGAUGAUUAAGCAAGAACUCCUGAAACUUGCAGCUCCGGUUUCGUAUCGGAGCAGUGAGCGGACGGAGAUCGAGUUUUGUUGUCUAGAGGAAGUAAAAGUCGUAACAAGGA
rnacentral:rRNA from 1 species